UGCACGGUGGUGCAGUUGGUAGCACUGUAGCCUUAUAGCAAGAAGGCCCUGGGUUCGACUCCUGGCCGGGGGUCUUUCUGCAU